rnacentral:snRNA from 1 species
GCCCGGGCGGAGCGGCCGU